rnacentral:rRNA from 1 species
CACCUUCGGGUGUGAGUAGAGUGGCGCACGGGUGAGUAACGCGUGGGAACCUACCGAGCAGUGGGGAAUAACCUUUGGAAACGAAGGCUAAUACCGCAUACGCCCUUUCGGGGGGAAAGAUUUAUCGCUGUUUGAUGGUCCCGCGUCUGAUUAGCUAGUUGGUAAGGUAACGGCUUACCAAGGCGACGAUCAGUAGCUGGUCUGAGAGGAUGAUCAGCCACACCGGAACUGAGACACGGUCCAG